rnacentral:tRNA from 4 species
GGGUCGUUAGCUCAGCUGGGAGAGCACCUCCCUUACAAGGAGGGGGUCGGCGGUUCGAUCCCGUCAUCACCCACCA